AUUGAACGCUGGCGGCAGGCUUAACACAUGCAAGUCGAGCGGAGAUGAGGUCCUUGCACCUUAUCUUAGCGGCGGACGGGUGAGUAAUGCUUAGGAAUCUGCCUAUUAGUGGGGGACAACAUUCCGAAAGGAAUGCUAAUACCGCAUACGCCCUACGGGGGAAAGCAGGGGAUCUUCGGACCUUGCGCUAAUAGAUGAGCCUAAGUCGGAUUAGCUAGUUGGUGGGGUAAAGGCCUACCAAGGCGACGAUCUGUAGCGGGUCUGAGAGGAUGAUCCGCCACACUGGGACUGAGACACGGCCCAGACUCCUACGGGAGGCAGCAGUGGGGAAUAUUGGACAAUGGGCGGAAGCCUGAUCCAGCCAUGCCGCGUGUGUGAAGAAGGCCUUUUGGUUGUAAAGCACUUUAAGCGAGGAGGAGGCUACCUAGAUUAAUACUCUGGGAUAGUGGACGUUACUCGCAGAAUAAGCACCGGCUAACUCUGUGCCAGCCGCCGCAGUAAAAC
rnacentral:rRNA from 1 species